CCAAGGCUUGGCCGUCUUUGUAGCUGCAGCCCCUGGAACAGUAGCCAGCUCAAGACAUAUUUGCUGCCUGAGAGUGAGCGAUGCGCCCGAGCCAGCUGUGCCGAGAAGAGCAUUUUAACUACAGCGGCCUACACUGCAUGAAAAGGGCGGCUGACGGGGAGACAGCGGCGCCCGCGCUUCCGAGACGAGGGCAGGCAAGUCCGGCGUCCGACGCCCCAGAGAGAACCAGCCCCGCCGCGACGCUGAGGCGGACGUGCCGCUAGGUGUCACUCCCGAUUCAAUAAAGAGAGACGCGGGUCCUUAGAAAGCUGGUUACACCUUUCUUGUGAAGGGAGCUGCUUAGACGGCUCCCAACCAUCCUUUCCGUCUGGUUCCACCCUCCUGUUCUUCAGUUCCCUCCACUGACACAGUCUGGGUCUAUAAAAGGACAACAGAAACAGGAGCUACGAGAGUUGGGGGCCACCUGGCCAACUAAUUCAGCCUCCCGAUUUUGUAGACGCGCAACCGAGGUUGGGGAGGGGGGUCGGGAGGUGGGGACAGAGCCCGGCUUCGGCCCCCGCGUGGGUCCGCGCGCCCCUGCCACCUUCGGGGUCCCGACUCUCGGCCUAAAGGUGUCGGGACGGUCCCGGAGGUCUACACCGCGGUCAGCCCCCCAGGGCCAGUUCCAGGCGCUCAGGCCGCGCGCAGCGUCUCUUCCUGCGCGGAGAUCCAACCCAAGGGCAUCCUCGCCCUGCGCUCCAAAACCCGGGAAGGUACCAGAAGGAAGAAGGCGAACUCGGUUCCUGAUUUUCGUGGAGCUAAUGCUCUGGUAGGGAGCACACAUUGAAUAAAUAAUUGCGGGAAACAUUAAUUUGUUCUAAAUGAGAUAUAUGCUGCAAAGGACAACAGAGGCUGCUGGGAGAGGGUGUCAGCAGGGAACCAGCUGAAGUCGUCAACUGAAUCUUCGCCACAACUUUGCUGCAUGUCCACCCUGAUGCUAUCUUCUCUCCUCUUGCUGCUGCAAACCGAUACAAGUCAUAGCCCCAAGGAACAGAUGAGUCAGUGCUUGCAAGGCUGCACGUCCCCAGGUGAGUCGCUGGAAGGAUGCCCGGCACGCGUAUAGUGGGUGCUCUCCAAAUAUGUGACGAAUAUGAACAGAACAGGAAGGAAGGAGAACUGUCACCUGGACUCCAUCUGUUGGAGUUGAAGACACUGUUCGCUGUGCUGACUGCUGUCUGUUGAGGCCCUUCAGUGACUUGGGUAGAUCGAGUGUGGUGAUAAGGUUGGCAUGUUCAUAACAGAUAAGCCAUAGACGUGGGUACUCACAUCAACUCUGGCAACCCCCUCCCCAUCCCACAUACACCACAAGCUCCGGAUAUGAAAAAACUACUCUCUCAGUGGAGCAAGAGGCUCCAAAUCUCACCUGCCUGAGUCUGCCUCAUUGCAAACCUGAUGCCAUGAUUUGGGGCUCAUUUGGGUUAUGUGGGAGUGAUCUCUAGGGGUGUAAGGCCAUUGAUAAAUGUGCCUGUGUCUUUUUAUUUUUUGUGAGGAAGAUUGGCGCUGAGCUAACAUCUGUUGUCCAUCUUCCUCUUUUUGCUU